AUACGGAGGGGGCUAGCGUUGUUCGGAAUUACUGGGCGUAAAGCGCGCGUAGGCGGCUUAUCGAGUUAGGCGUGAAAGGCCUGGGCUCAACCCGGGAACUGCGCUUAAUACUGGUAGACUUGAGUCCGGGAGAGGGUGGCGGAAUUCCCAGUGUAGAGGUGAAAUUCGUAGAUAUUGGGAAGAACACCAGUGGCGAAGGCGGCCACCUGGCCCGGUACUGACGCUGAGGUGCGAAAGCGUGGGGAGCAAACAGGAUUAGAUACCCCGGUAGUCC
rnacentral:rRNA from 1 species